rnacentral:rRNA from 1 species
UAGGGAAUCUUCCGCAAUGGGCGAAAGCCUGACGGAGCAACGCCGCGUGAGUGAUGAAGGUCUUCGGAUCGUAAAACUCUGUUAUUAGGGAAGAACAAAUGUGUAAGUAACUAUGCACGUCUUGACGGUACCUAAUCAGAAAGCCACGGCUAACUACGUGCCAGCAGCCGCGGUAAUACGUAGGUGGCAAGCGUUAUCCGGAAUUAUUGGGCGUAAAGCGCGCGUAGGCGGUUUUUUAAGUCUGAUGUGAAAGCCCACGGCUCAACCGUGGAGGGUAAUUGGAAACUGGAAAACUUGAGUGCAGAAGAGGAAAGUGGAAUUCCAUGUGUAGCGGUGAAAUGCGCAGAGAUAUGGGGGAACACAAGUGGCGAAGGCGACUUUCUGGUCUGUAACUGACGCUGGUGUGCGAAAGCGUGGGGAUCAAACAGG